rnacentral:rRNA from 1 species
ACACUCCUACGGGAGGCAGCAGUGGGGAAUAUUGGACAAUGGGCGCAAGCCUGAUCCAGCCAUGCCGCGUGAGUGAUGAAGGCCCUAGGGUUGUAAAGCUCUUUCACCGGUGAAGAUAAUAACGGUAACCGGAGAAGAAGCCCCGGCUAACUUCGUGCCGGCAGCCGCGGUAAUACGAAGGGGGCUAGCGUUGUUCGGAUUUACUGGGCGUAAAGCGCACGUAGGCGGACUAUUAAGUCAGGGGUGAAAUCCCGGGGCUCAACCCCGGAACUGCCUUUGAUACUGGUAGUCUUGAGUUCGAGAGAGGUGAGUGGAAUUCCGAGUGUAGAGGUGAAAUUCGUAGAUAUUCGGAGGAACACCAGUGGCGAAGGCGGCUCACUGGCUCGAUACUGACGCUGAGGUGCGAAAGCGUGGGGAGCAAACAGGAUUAGAAACCCGUGUAGUCCC